rnacentral:rRNA from 1 species
AUUUGGGAAUUAAUAAAUUUAUAUUUAAUAAAAAUAAUUUUAAUUUAAUAAAUAUUUUAAUGGGGGUUAAAGUAUUUUUUAAAGAAAAAAUUUUUAAUUUUAUAGUAUAAUAGUAUUGUGUAAGAAUUUUGAAAUAAUUGAAAAUUUAAUUUUAAUAAAGUAAUUUUUAUUUGAUGUAUCUUGUGUAUCAGAGUUUAUUAAAAUUUUUAAUUUUUAAAUUAAUUUCUCGAAUUUAAAAGAGUUAAAUAAUUAUUAAAUUUAUUGUUGCAAAAAUAUUUUAAAUAAUUAUUUAGAAAUGAAAUGUUAAUCGUUUUUAAAUAUAUCUAGUUUUUAUAGAAAAAAUUUUAAUUUUAAAUUUAAUUUUAUUAUUAAUUAAUUAAUUAAUUAAAUAAUUAUUUAAAUUUUAUAUUUUAAGGGAUAAGCUUUAAAUUAAAUUUUUAUAAUAAAAAAUAUUUAUUUUUGAAAAUUUUAUAAUUUAUAUUGUUAAUAAAUUUUAUUUUAUUAUAAAUAAUUUCAUUUUAUUAAAAAAUUUAAAUUUUUAUUUAAUUUUUUAUAUAAAAUUUAUUUUUAAUUAUUAAAAAUUAAUUAUAAUGAUAAAAUUAGUAUAUUAUAUUUUAAAAAUUAUUUUUAAUUUGAAUUUUAUUAUUUAAUUUAAUUAAUUAAAAGGAAUUCGGCAAAUAUUUAUUUUCACUUGUUUAUCAAAAACAUGUCUUUUUGUUGAUUUAUUUAAAGUCUAAUCUGCCCACUGAUUUUAAUUGAAGGGCUGCAGUAUUUUGACUGUACAAAGGUAGCAUAAUCAUUAGUCUCUUAAUUGGUGACUUGUAUGAAAGAUUGGAUGAGAAAUAUACUGUCUCUUAAUUAAUGUGUAGAAUUUAAUUUUUUAUUUAAAAAGUUAAAAUAAAUUAAAAAGACGAGAAGACCCUAUAGAGUUUAAUAAAUUUUUUUAUGAUAAUUUUAUUUGUAUUAAAUUGAAAUAAUUUUAUAAAUUUAUUUAUUUUAUUGGGGUGAUAGAAAAAUAAAUUUAACUUUUUUUAAAGAAUUUAACAAAAAUAUAUGAUUAAAUGAUCCAGUUUAUUAUUGAUUAAAAGAUUAAAUUACCUUAGGGAUAACAGCGUAAUUUUUUUUUUUAGUUCGAAUAAUAAAAAAAGUUUGCGACCUCGAUGUUGGAUUAAGAUAAAAUUUAAAUGUAAAAGUUUAAAAUUUUGAUCUG